GGACGGGUGAGUAACACGUGGGUAACCUGCCCAAAAGUGGGGGAUAACAUUUGGAAACAAGUGCUAAUACCGCAUAACAACUACUUUCACAUGAUCGUAGCUUGAAAGAUGGCUCUGCUAUCGCUUUUGGAUGGACCCGCGGCGUAUUAGCUAGUUGGUGAGGUAAUAGCUCACCAAGGCAAUGAUACGUAGCCGACCUGAGAGGGUAAUCGGCCACAUUGGGACUGAGACACGGCCCAAACUCCUACGGGAGGCAGCAGUAGGGAAUCUUCCACAAUGGGCGAAAGCCUGAUGGAGCAAUGCCGCGUGAGUGAAGAAGGUUUUCGGAUCGUAAAACUCUGUUGUUGAAGAAGAACAUGCGUGAGAGUAACUGUUCACGUACUGACGGUAUUCAACCAGAAAGCCACGGCUAACUACGUGCCAGCAGCCGCGGUAAUACGUAGGUGGCAAGCGUUGUCCGGAUUUAUU
rnacentral:rRNA from 1 species